rnacentral:rRNA from 1 species
UACGUAGGGGGCUAGCGUUGUCCGGAAUCAUUGGGCGUAAAGCGCGUGUAGGCGGCUCGAUAAGUCCGCUCUGAAAGCCCGGGGCUCAACCCCGGGAGGCGGGUGGAUACUGUCGAGCUCGAGUCCGGAAGAGGCAAGUGGAAUUCCCGGUGUAGCGGUGAAAUGCGCAGAUAUCGGGAGGAACACCAAUGGCGAAGGCAGCUUGCUGGGACGGUACUGACGCUGAGGCGCGACAGCGUGGGGAGCAAACAGG